UUGUCUAAGCCUCUUAUGAAUAUGAUCGGCUAACGUGCCCCCUGCCAUAAAUUCAUAAACAAGAAUCAUCUCAUAACCUUCAUCACAGUAACCAAUCAAGGACACUAGAUGGCUGUGCCGAACUUUUGAGAGCAUCUCAAUCUCUGCCCGGAAUUCUGUGGAUCCUUGACUCGACAUGGAUUUCAACCGUUUUAUGGCAACUAAAGUUGCUCCCAGAGUUCCUUUGUAAACAUUUCCAAACCCGCCUUUUCCGAUCACUAAAUCGUCGUGGAAGUUAGAUGUCGCCCGCUUCAUCUCAUUAAAGGAGAAACGGUAACAUGAUUGUCGAGUAGACAAUGAUUGAAGCCAGUUAUUUUGCUCCACGACUUCUGCUUCUUGAAGUUUUUGGAGCAUAUAAACCACGAUAUUCAAGAUGGUAAUAAGAAUAAUUGCUAAAUUUACAAUGAUGUUUGUAUUAGCAUGCAGAUCGCGUUGACACUUGCCAAGUUAAGAUCCAGCAAACAUGAAUACGUUAUGUAACUUGUAACAAUAUUUGUUCAUUUUAGGGGGAAAAAGUUUAAUAAUCCGUUAAAUGUUGGCAUGUUGAACUGAGUGAAAUUUGGGAGAGAAAUAAAGGUUGAAGUCGUAGAUGCAGUAUGAACCCAUUCCUUGACUUUCAAAUGCAGAGCUGAUAUAUUCCUUGAAUUCUUCAUCGUAGAGCUGUCUGAGAUAUCAUGCCCAAUGACUUAGCGAGAGCAGACAAGAACCCUGAGAUAAACUCACAAGUUUUCUCCGUUAAAUUCAAACAUAUAAAUAUAGUUUUUUUUUUUUUUUGCGACAAUAUAAAUAUAGAGUUUACUUCUUUGUAUGAUUUUGUUUGUCUUAUCUUUUUUGUUUGUCUUAUCUUAUUUUUCAAAUUUAAAUUAUUUACUUUAAAAAAUAUAUAAAAAUAUAUACUUCCUCCGUCCCUGUCAUUUCUUUACAGUUUUUUUCACCGCUCGACACGCAUUUUAAGGCUCUUAUAAAAUAUAGUCCCGUAACUUAUUUUUCAAAUUUUCUUUUUGUGUAUAAAAAUUCAAAUUUUUAUUAGAAAAAACGAAUUAAGAAAUAUGUUACGGGGAACUAUGUUUUCUAUUAUUAUUAAAAUACGUGCCGAACUCUCGUCCCCCCACCUAAACUACCUAGGGGCAGAGCAGGGGCGGACCCAUAGCCUUGGCUAUGGGUUCCCGGGCACCCACUCAACUUCCCACCGAAGUGUAAUUAUAAGGUAAAUUUCGGUUAAAAAUUAAUUUAAAAUUUAGCAGGAACCCACUAAAAUAUUUACCAAACUCAUUAUUUACCUCAAUAAUUUAGAGAUCUUAUUAACUAUUGGGCGAUUGGUGUUCGGAAUAAUUUAAAAUGUUGUAUUUAUUAAGAUAUUUGUCUAAAUAUAUACUUUUUAGUUUCCGGUGUUCUUUAAAUUAACAUUUAAUAUUAAUAUCAAAAAUUUAAAUAUUGAUAUCUAAAUAAAUAUUUAUUAUUUAUAUUACUAAAGUAAAAUAAGGAACCCAGUGAGAAAAAUUUCUGGGUCCGCCACUGGGGCAGAGGGAGUAUUACUUUGGUAUUCACCCAAAUACACUAGAUAAUCACAUAUUCUCCUGGUAUAGACCUCGUCACAGCAUUGUGCUGGAGUUACUCUGACCGUAAGGAAGUAGGUAAGGAUACCAGCUAGUGGAGUUUUUACUCUAUAAACAACAGCAACGAAAAAACAUACAUAUAUUCACCGACUCUAAAAGUCUAAGUCAUACAAUGAAAACAAGACAAACGCAUUUGACAUUUGGAUCAGAUAACCUGGAUUACUGGCCCUUAAUAUAUAUUUUAAUAUUCUAAUACAGAUUAAGAGAUAGUUGUUGGCUUCCUCUAAUCUCAACACUUAUUCAACUCAAAUUUUCCCCGAUGAUUCACAUAUAUUAAUCUACAUAUAUAUCACUUAUGUGAAGAUCAUUAAGAUCAUUAAGCCUAUAAAUACAAGGCUUUAGUUAACUAAUACAAAACAAAUUAAAGAUGGGAAGAUCAAUAGCAAUCUCUCUAGUUGUAGUACUAGUGUGUCUCAUCUUAGCAUCAGAAACAGCAGCAAAGAAACGAAAAUCUCCCCCACCACCUAAACAAUCUCCAACGCUUUAUCACUCCCCUCCUCCACCAAGAGCUGUGGAAUAUCCUCCGCCACCACCUCCUAUUUAUUCUCCCCCACCUCCACCUCCUCCACCUCCUCCUCCUCCUCCUCCUCCUCCCAUGCACUCAUUGCCACCACCAUUUCAUUAUCACUCACCGCGCCAUCCGGUUCAUGCCCCACCACCACCUAAGCACCAUUCUCAUCACUACAAGUACAAGUCUCCGCCACCACCUGCACAUUAUCCCGCACCAAAAUAUCACUACAAGUACAAGUCUCCGCCACCACCACCACCAGCCACGCAUCAUUAUUACUUUAAUUCACCUCCCCCUCACCACUACUAAGAUGAAGUGUCCUCAUUGCCGAACAAGAUGAGGUAAUAUUAAUGGCGUACGUGCAUGAUGUUUUCGAUAUAUCUAUGGGAUCAAUAUAUGAUGAUGUAAGGCAUCUAAUUUUCAUUUUAUGUAUCAAUAAUUUGUUCACAAUCAAUAAAAUUUUGUUAUGUGUUCAGCGUGAUCAGAUACUAAUUAAUAUUUCAUGUUUGAUCUCACGAGGAGUGUGAUAUAAAAUUCAUGGUUUAAUUACUGUAUGUACCAUUUUAGACUUUUUAGUAGAGCACCCUCUCUCGUAUAUAUUGUUACUCAGUACUCCCAUUUUAUAUGACUUUUACUCUUUUUUGGGACGUCCACAUACUUACUAUUUUUGAACACUACUUUCUACUAUUACACUAACUACUUUCUUCCACUAUCUCCAUUAUAUAAUAAUAUAAACACUAUUACACCCACUACUUUCCUCCACUAUCUCAAAUCUAUUAUUAAAUAUUGAUAGGUUCUCCCAUUUUUCAACUAAACUUACUACUCCCUCUGUCCCCUCAUUUGUUUACAUUGGGGGACGGGGGCUCGUCACGCAUUAUAAUGCUCUCGUAAAACGUAGUUCGAUAAAUUAUUUCGAACUUUUUUUUGUUCUGAAUAAAAAUUUGAUGUUUAUAUUUUUAUACAAAAAAGAAAAAAAUUAAAAAUAAGCCUUAAAAUGCGUGUCGAGCAGUGUGAAAAAACUGUAAACAAAUGAGGGGACAGAGAGAGUAUCUUUUUCUUAAUCUUCGUGAAAGUCAAACCAGCUCAUUUAUUAUAGGACGGAGAGAGUACGUAGUUAGUACAUGCAUAUUCAACAGGUUAAAGUCAAGGUGUUGCUCGCUCCUCCAAAGAAAAAAUGUAAAAUGUUCGCAUCAUAUUUGUCUCUGGAUAACUGAGAUGCGGCCACUUUUUUUUACGGAAAAUGUUUCGUGCACGUAAUUGUGUUCAAAAUUUUGUAUAUAAUAAUAUGUGGCAGGUUUUAAUUGUAAUGUGUCAUUUUAUUCACAUCAACAACCCCAAUUAAAAUAUUUUACAUCAAUUGUCAUCAUGUACAAAAAUUUUGUACACAAUAACAAAAAUGUACAAAUAUAUACUUAAUUUUGAAAAAUAUAUUUUUUUGCUUAUAUCUUCUAAUUUUUUUAUUUUGCUAAAUUUCUUAUAUCUUUUUAUUUACUGUUAGUUCAAUAAUAAAUCAAUAAACAUCAACCUCUUGCUGCACCUAACACUCAUUUUAAAGUACCAGUUCUACUGUUGCAUUUUGUUAAUCGAGUCCUCUCACGUCUCAUGAUCAUGAGGCUGGAUGCUUUUUAUUUAAAUUAUAAACAUCUGGAAUCGAUUUAACCAUUGUUUUAUAUUGUCUGUGUUAUUUUGAACUAAGAUCCAAUUUUCUAGAUAACAGGUCAUCAGUUUGGAAAAUGCCCUAGUCAGUCUUUAUUAGUGAUAUUCUACGCGCAUAGGCUUUUCUGAAGAAUAUAAAUUAUAACCAGGUGGGCGGAGGGCGGAUACACAUCUAUAUAUGUUUCCAAUUGGUCUGAGAUUAUGUUGGUAACUACAGAAUAAGGCUUGGUCUCCAUCCAUAGAUACGUUCCUAUUUUUCAUAGCUGACGUACCAAGUCAUAAAUACUUGUCUUAUUUCUAUUUUCAAACACAAUAUACAUGUAAAUCAAUUUAUUAAUUCAAUGCAUUUGUUAGAAGUACAAGGGAAACUAAUUAUUCAACUAUUUUUUUCUCAAGAUGGGUAAUUUUUUCAAAAGGACCUGUAAAAGUUGACGAAGAGAGUAUGUUUCAAGUUUAAUUUUAUCUCAUUCAAAUAAAAUUCAUUUAUAUAUAUUCAUAUUUUUCUUCAAAUAAAAAAUCUUGUAAUUAGUUAGAGCCUCUUUUAAAUCAUAAACUUUACGAGAUCUUAAAUGAUUAGUGAUUUAUAUAUGUUUAAGUUAGAUGAUGUACCAGUAAUAGUUAAGUAAAUUAGACGUUUAUUUUACAGUAUUAUUUAUCAUUAUAGUGCUAUUAGUAUAUUAAAUUAAUUUUCUGAUAUCGGGUUUCGGAUUUUGAGUUUCAGAUAGAGGUUUUCGAGUAUUUCAGAUAUCCAAUCCAAAAAAUUUGGGUUUCGAAUGUACCCGAAUUCGAUUCGAAAUCCGUUGGAUCAGAUUCGGGUAUUAAUUUUCGAAUAUUUUUCAGGUUUGGAUCGGAUUCUGCAAUGGAUAAAAAAUUCAGGUUUAAAUAUGAAUUAUGUCAUACCCGACCCGAUUGACAUCUCUGAUAAUUCAUACUACAUAAUCGCCUACUUAGUUUUAACGGAUUUGUACCUUGUUCUGGUGGUGGCAUGAUCUCGGCUAUAUGUGAUAUAUUGAUAUUGCCGACAUAAUCCGGACGCACUCGAAGAGCAUGAGGAUUCUUGUUUUUCUUACAACAUGGGCGUGAAAUCAAUCCGUAAGCAGGUGUAACUGUGAUAUUUUCUAUUAGUAUAUAAGAUUUUCUGAUUUAAUAAAAAAAUUCUAAGUUAAAUACCACAUUGGCGUGAAAUCAAUCCGUAGAGAUAAAACCUGCACCAUCUGCAUUGAUUUAAAACAUAUAAACAUCAAUAUUUUUUUGAAUAUUUUUUUAACAUUAUAUCUAACUAGUGAAUAAAGCCGCGCUUCGCGGCGGCGUUAUGAAUUUUUUAUAAAUUUUGAUAGGAAUUAAUAUUAUAAUUGCAUAAAAGUUAUUUUGAGUCAUGUUCCUGUUAAACAUAUCAUUAAUAAAAAAUAUUAUAAUUAAUAUAAAAAUUUGUUUAAGUGGUCCUCAUGUCAAACACAAUACUAAUAAAAAAAAUUGUUUGACCCGCCCUCCCAUCAAAGACAUGAUGAAGUUAAAGAUUAUAUUUGGAUAAAAAUUAUUUUAAGCUGUGGUCACGUUUUAAUAAAAAAAUACAUUAUAUCAUAGAUAAAAAUUUGUUUUAACCGCUUUCCCGUCAAACAUAAUACUAAUAGAAAAUUUAUUAUUAUUUAGAUAAAAAUUAAUUUGGGCCGCCCUCCCCUCAAACACAAUACUAAUCAAGAAUUUUUUUUAGAAAUUUUGAUACGAAAUAAUAUUAAACUUACAUAAAAUUUAUUUUAAGUCAUGUUCCUAUUAAACAUAUCAAUAAGAAAAAAUAUUAUAAUUAAUAUAAAAAUUUGUUUAAGUGGCCCUCAUGUCAAACACAAUACUAAUAAAAAAAAUGGUUUGACCCGCCCUCCCAUCAAAGACAAUAUUAAUCAAUAAUUAUGAUAAAAUUAAAUAUAAUAAUAUAGAUAAAAAUUAGUUUGAGCUACUCUUUUGUCAAGCACAAUACUAAUAACAAAAUAUUAUAAUAUAGACAUUAGUUUGAGUGGCCCUACUGUCGAACACAAUACUAAUAAAAAAUAUUAUAAUUAUGAUAAAGUUAAAGAUUAUAUUCGGAUAAAAAUUAUUUUAAGCCGUGGUACCAUUUUAAUAAAAAAUACAUUAUAAUAGAUAAAUAUUGUUUUAGCCGUUUUACCGUCAAACAUUAAUACUAAUAGAAAAUUUAUUAUUAUUUAGAUAAAAAUUAAUUUGGGCCGCCCUCCCCUCAAGCACAAUACUAAUUAAGAAUCAUUUACAUUAUGAUAAAAUUAUAAUUAUAAAUGGAUAAACAUAUCCAAUUUUAUAGAUUUUAGCUAUUAUAUUUUUCUUUAAGAUUCAGAUUUUUUAAUUGUUUAAAAUUAUCUCUCUUUUCUUUUAGGAUUCCUAUUUCUUAAUUACUUAGAAUUUUCAUAGAUUUUAGCUAUUAUAUUUUUGUUAAAAUUCCUAUUUCUUAUCUACUUAGAAUUAUAUCGCUCUUACGAUUACUAUUUUUUAGCUACCUUACCUAUUUUCUCACAAAAAAUUAGAAAAAUUAAACAGAAUUCCCGCGUAUCUUCUCAAGAAUCAUUUAAAUUAUGAUAAAAUUGUAAUUAUAAUUGGAUAAAUAUAUCCAUUUUUAAUAGAUUUUAUUUUUUAAUUUUUUUGAAUUAUCUCUCUUUACUUAUAAUCUUUACUUAUAAGAUUCCUAUUUGUUAACUACCUAGAAUUUUACAGAAUUUCACAAAUUUAGGAGGCGCUUUUCUCAUCUUUCUUUAUAUUCUUUACAAUAAAUUCACCAAAAUAAUAAUAUAAAAAAGACCGAACCUGACAUGAACGUAUUCUUUUAAUUGCAAAAAGAAAACAUGUUAAAGAACUCAAGACAUGGUUUGAACUUUGAUGAUGAAUGAAAUCACAACCACCCCAUGAUUUGAGAUUAAUUAUUGGCAAUAGUGGCCGCAAGCCGUUUGAUCAACAGGCAAAUCUAAGGUGUAAUUUCUUUUUCUUUAAAAGCAGCACCUUGAUAACCUUUUGGCCAGCCGGCGAGGGGUUAUGAAAAAUCAUGGGUACUAAUUACUAUAGCCUCGAACGGCUACAUAAAUAAACAUAACAGAACAUAUAAUGGCCGUUUGGAUGAGUUUAAAAUAAGUGCUUCUUGCUUAAAAUAAAAAAGUGGAGCAGAAGUUAGAAGCAAAUUAAGACUUAUAAGUGAUUAAAGUGUUUGAGAAAGAAGUAGAAGUCCUGAAACAAAAGUUAGCAUUCCUAGCUUAUUAUAAGUGCUUCUUGACUUAUUAUACAAACGGUACGAAUAAGUGCUCCUAACUUAUAAUCCAAGAAGCUGGACUUAUAAGUGUUACACAAACACCCACAUAAACGCAAACACACUAAGCUGUUGACAUCAGAUUCAGUUUAGUAGGAUUCAUGCGGUGUCAAAAUCAGGAAUUUGUAGAAAUUUUGGAAAAGACGGUGCGCCAAAACAAUCAAAGAUAAAACUAAAAGAAAAAUCACAUGGACUUAAAACAUCUUGAAAUUUCUGUUAGGUAAUCCAUAGNCCAAUAAGUUUCUGAAUAAAUCUCUUCCGAUGAGUUUCCGGAUAAAUUUAAGAAAAUUAUAAGACUAAAUUGAAAAUAAGAAUUGUAUUACUUUAUAAAUCUCAAAUAUAAAUUGUAUUUCUCUUAGGAUUUCUAAAUAAGAAAAGAAUUGUAUUAUCUUUAGAAUCCAAUAAGAAAAAGAAUCAUAUUAUCUUUAGAAUUGUACUAAACUUGAAUUUUUUUGAAUUAUAAUUAUAUUUUUCAUCCGAAAUUUAAGAAAAAUUAGAAGACUGAAUCGAACGAUUCUAGAGACACCCGCAUCCUCCUUUAUAUAUAUAUAUGAUUAGUCCGCCAAUUUGAAUAAAUAAUAUAAGUUAGCUCGUUGAAUUGUUUAUGUUAGAAUCAAUUAUACAAUCAUAUUUUAUAUAUUAAUUUUUUUUACUUAAAUUAGUUCAAUUUCAAAAUUUGAUUUUCAUUUAUUCGAUUUUUUUGUAUACAGUAGUUUGACUGAUUCCGUUAAAUAUUAUGUCCACUAUAUCUUUGUUUACCGUAUAAAUCAUUCAGUAAUAAACAAGUCAUGUCCAACUUUAUUAGAAUGUUCAAUACCAAAUGAUAACAUAGAAAACAAAAUUUUAAUAUUCAAACUAUGCAAUUUUUUACCGUUGCACAAUAUUUUUUUACCGUUUUGCAACAUUAACUAAAAUAUUAGUAGGGUUACGUUUUUCCUUAAAUCUGGUACUCUACUCUAGUCAGAAAACUAUUGCAGCAAUAGUUGGCAUAUUAGAAGUUAAUAGAAAAAGUCCAGAGGUGUAGUCCUCUGGAUGAUCAACUAAGGAACCCUUGACAGAUGAAGUUAGGAAGCUCUUGGAUGUUGAGUUCACCUGCCACAAAUGUAUGAGCUAUAUCGAGGGACAGAUAACAAUACUCAAGAAGGUCAAUUCUUUCGUAUUUACUCCAGCUAGAGUGUUUCAGGUACUCUCUAGCAAUGAACUCUGCGUGCUUGCCGUCUAUGCUCUGCCAAAUGUCCUCCAGAUCACCGUAAAUUGGAAAGCUCUUAAUCAUCUGAAUUUAUUAAAUGAGGAAUUUCAUUUAAUCAAUUCAAACUGCUUAUGUGUUAAAGAAAUUGACUGCACCUGAACCUUAGCCGUGCCUAAGUAAGUAAUGAAUAUUAGGGCGAUCCCUUGAACUGGCCACCUGAAUCCUCGCUAUCAGCCUGUGUUCUGUACAAGGAACUCAGAUUAAAAUCCAUUUAUCAUCAUUCAAUUAUAUAUUUUAUUGCUUAGAUUGUCAAUUUAGAACUGAGAAUUUAUAUAGCAUUUUAUGUUACUAAUACUCAUUUGUGCAUCCCCUAACCUCUCUUGAAUCUUACCUCAGUAUCUUCACUCUCUUACUCACCUCACCUGAUUCUCGCUCAACUCUCAACUCUCAUCUCACUUUCUCCACUCUCUCUCUCAUUAAAAGUGCAUUUGAACCGUAAGUAGGGUUAAUCGCCUCAAUUGGGUUCAAUCCUCGCUCUCUUUUGCUCUGGCUAAUUAAAGUAGCUAAUCGAAGCAGGGAAUUCAUGGAUCUUAAUGGAUUUUACGGGUCUUCAUGAAUUUCUUAUAAUUGAUACAAUUACAUCGACUUUUUCAUGGAUUUUGUACUAAUCAGGACUACAAUCUUCAUUUUCCAGGAGAUUAGGGCUCUCUCUCGAGGCUUGAAGUCGGGGCUUUUACUUUGAGAUUUGAGUUAGGACUUUCAAUUAAGGUAAAUCCAUAUUUAAUUAUGGUAUAAAUUUGGGUUUUGUAUUCUAUAUGUGAUGCCAUAAAUAUGGGUUUUGUAUUCUAUAUGUGAUGUUUUAAUUUACAUGUUUUAAUCAAGGUAAAUCGAAUCCUUAUGGUGUAACUUUGGUUUUGUUUUUUAGAAUAUACUGUAUUGAUUGAAAUAGAAUGGGAGAAAGAAGAGGGCGAGAGACAAAGUAGUCGAGUCUAUAGAGAGUCACAGAUUAAGAGAGUUAAAGAAAAUAGGAACCUUAGGGUGAUUUUAUAUAUAUGAACUUUACACCUUAUGUACUUUAUCUUUGGUGUAUCUUGAUUUUCUUGCUUGUCCAUCCGUAUUUAUAAAGACAGACUAGAACUUAUAGUAACUCUACAAUCUUCUUUCCAUUGCAAAGUUGCAUCUUAUUAAGAUCUAUUCCUGCAGGCAGAAUGAGAUUGAUAGUAAAUUUCUAGAAGCACAGAACAUCAUGGACUAUAGUUUUCUGCUUGGUGUGCAUUAUCAAGCUCCGCAGCAUCUGCGAUCUCUUAUGUCUUAUAAUCAAAGUCUGGCAGACGGACUUGGAGUAGUUGCGGAAGAAGGUGGGAUGCACAUUUGUAUAACCAAUUUAUGAUUUAAAGAUUCCUAAAUCUUUCGAUCAGGAUAGGUCACACAUAAGAAAAUUGAUUUCUAUUUCACAGCUAAAAGUCACGCAUUUUUCAUAACUAUAUUAACUUCAGAGCACUAGACUCCUUCUGCAGAGUAUCGCGAUAUAACCUUGUGAAUAUCAUUGAUUCACCUUGCACUCUUUUCUUACUGGUACUGUUUAUAGUUUUCUAGUAUCUUUAGGUAGAACAAGAAUACUAGUAUUCUUAAUUAAUAGUAGCAAUCUUGGGAGAGGAUGUGUAUGGCAAAAAGUAAGGGGGGAAAUGGGUUUCAGAGUUUUGCACGGCUUCAACUUGGCCUUAUUGGGGAAGCAGCUAUGGAAUUUCAUGAGUAAUCCUGACGCACUGGUUACACGUAUCUUUAAAGCCCGAUAUUUCAGUGAUUGUCAUUUAUUGAAAGCAAAGUGAGGUGCUGGUUCGAGUUUCUUAUGGACGGGCUUAUGGGAGACUAAAGAAGAGUUGUAUAAAGGCUAUAAAUGGGUUUUGGGUGAUGGAAUGGAUAUUGAAAUAUUUAGAGACCCAUGGUUACAGGGAAAAAGAGAAUUAUGUGUGGAAGACUACCAUGAUAACAAUGUCAGACCUGACAAAGUGUGCGCACAUUUCCGUUCUAAUACUAAAGAGUGGGACGAGCAUAAGGUAUGCCAAACUUUUCUCGAUGAUGAUGUUAAAUGCAUUCUUCAGACUAGAGUUCCUCAAAUUGGAAAGAAAGAUAGGGUGGCUUGGAUGGCAACUGUUGAUGGUAAGUACACUGUUAAGUCUGGGUAUCAUUACUAGUAUGACAAAAGUGGGAAUAUGGCCUCUGUUAUUGAGUGGAAUAGGUUAUGGAAUCUUGAUCUACCACACAAGAUCAAGAUAUUUAUAUGGAGGUUUUGUAGAAAUAACCUUCCUGUUAGAAAUUUGCUGAGAUGUAAAAGGUGUGUAUCCCAAUUUUAUGUCCAACGUGCAAUGCGGAUGAUGAGCAUUUACUUCACUUAUUUUUUGACUGUGGCUACGCUAAGAAAUGUUGGGAGGAAGCUGGUUUGAGCUAUGAUAUGAGGACAGUGGAGGAUGCUUUUCAUUGGCUCCUUGAGAGGUUAAGUACUGAAAUGAGCGAAAAGUUGAUUAUCAUAACAAAAGUGCUAUGGGGCAUCUGGUUUGGUCGUAAAAUGAAAGUGUGGGAUUCAAAUAGGGGUGACAGUUUUAUCCGACCCGAUGGAUACUCGACCCGUUCCGACCCGAUUGGGUCUACCCGAACCCGAUAUAGUUGGAUCUGGAUCCGGAUCUGGAUCUUAUUUUCAGACCCGAAAGAGUUUGGAUCUGGAUCUCAUAUAUUCCGAACCGAGAACCGACCCGAAACCCGAUUUAAACCUGAUCCGAACCCGAAACCCGAUAAAAACCCGAUACAAAAUAUUUUUAUAUAUAUAUAUAUAUAUAUAUAUAGGAGGAAGAUCCUAAGAAAACCCAGCUUAUCAAGAAAACUGAGAAACCCACUUAAUCACCGUUCAUCUCAUAAUCAUAAUAUUUAUCAAAAUAUCAAUCAAAUCUAAUUUAUAAAGGAUAGUAUAGUAAUCUUCUACAUACAUUUAAUGCAUUCAAUAAAUACAUGCAUUUAAUGCAUUCAAUCAGUACAUUUCUUUCUUCAAAAAGAUUUGUCUAAGAUUUGCUUCAAUAUUCACGCAUUAUCCAUACUGCAUCAAUCAAGCUCACAUAUAAGGAUUAAAUUAGUAAAAUAUAAAUAUUAUUUAACUAACAUAAAUAAUAAGAUAUGCAAUUAAUUGAUUUCUUUUUUUUAUAUUAUUUAUAUCUCAUUAAUAGUCAGAGCAUUUAGUGUAUAUUAAAUUUGAAUUUCAAAUUUCAAAAUUUCUAAGUUUCACCGUGAGAAAUAGAAAAGAUAUAAUAACAUUUUUUUAGCAUUUAUUUUUAUUUAUAAUUUUUUGACGUAAGAGGUUUCUUAAAGUAUUCCUUUAGAUAUUAUUAUAACUUUUGUAUUCGUAUUCUUUUAUAUUAAUUGGUUUAAGAUUUUUCGAAAUAAUAAUUAAUAAAAAUAUUAAAAGAGUCAAAAGAAUAUCAUACAGUGAAUAAUUUAUACAAGAAAAAUCUCAAAUUUUAAAAGAAUCUUGCAUGACACAAAUAUUUAUUAUUAAAAAUAAUAAAAUAUCUUAGAGAAUCUUUAAAAUUUUAUUAUUUAAGAUCAUAUUCUAAAAUACAUUUAGAUAAGAUAUUUUCAUAGGUAUUAUCAUGUGUACGAAAUUACUCAACAAAAUCAGAUCAAAUAUUUUCUCAUUAACUAUAGGAGAGGUAUUUCAGUUUUAUUAAUAUAACAUAUAUGAUAAAUGUCAUUUGAAUGUAAUUGGAUUCCUUCAAGUGUUUAUAUUCAAAGUAAUAAAAUAUAACAAGAUUUCGUUAAGUGUUUUGAUGCAUAUUUUAAAAGAAUAUUGCAUGGCACAAAUAUUUAUUAUUAAAAAUAAUAAAAUAUCUUAGAGAAUCUUUAAAAUUUUAUUAUUUAAGAUAUUAUUCUAAAGAGCAUUUAGAUGAGAUAUUUUCAUAGGUACUGUCAUGUGUAGGAUAUUACUCAACGGAAUCCGAUCAAAUAUUUUCUCAUUAACUAUAGGAUAGGUAUUUCAAUUUUAUUAAUAUAACACAUAUGAUAAAUGUCAUUUAAAUGUAAUUGGAUUUCUGCAAGUGUUUAUAUUCAAAGUAAUAAAAUAUAACCAGAUUCCAUUAAGUGUUUUGAUGCAUAUUUUAAAAGAAUCUUGCAUGACACAAAUAUUUAUUAUUAAAAAUAAUAAAAUAUCUUAGAGAAUCUUUAAAAUUUUAUUAUUUAAGAUCUUAUUCUAAAGAGAAUUUAGAUAAGAUAUUUUCAUAGUUACUGUCAUGUGUAGGAAAUUACUCAACGGAAUCUGAUCAAAUAUUUUCUCAUUAACUAUAUGGUAGGUAUUUUUUUUUUUUGAAGAUGAGAAUAAAUCUCACAAAUAUGAAUCGGCAAUUCACUGUGAUAAUUCUUUCAUUCAACAAAGCUUAUCAUCUAACCGUCGGAUAUGCAAGAUGACCGGGGAAAUUUAGACAAUAAAACUUUAAUGUCCGAAAAGAAAAACCCGUCUUCUUCCAAGAAUCCUGAAAAUUAAAACGAAGGAAAUAAAAAGAAUCUUGCAUGACACAAAUAUUUACUAUUAAAAAUAAUAAAAUAUCUUAGAGAAUCUCGUACAUAUAUUCCAAAAAGAUUUUGUAUGGUCAUGUUAAUGAUUAGAUAUUUAAGAUUCGAUUAAGUGUUUUAAUAUCAAAUUACUAAAUUAAAUAUUAAGCAUUUAUGAUACUAAAUGCUUUCUAUUUAAUGUUUUAAUUAAUUAUUUACUAUUGGAUAAAAAGUAAGAUUUUGACAUGUUAACUUCAUUAGUAAAAUGGUAAUGGAACCUUAAUAUUUUAACUUCAUUAGUAAAAUGGUUAAUAGAAUCUUAAUAUUUUAACAUCAUUAGUAAAAUGGUGUUAAACAUCUUAACAUCAUUAGUAAAAUGGUUAAUAAAAUCUUAAUAUUAAUCUUUCACUUAUCACAAAAAUAAAAAAAAUUAUAAUACAUCAUGUUUUUUUGUAAAAUAGUUAAAAAAAAUAAUUAAAGCAUUAAACAAAAAUUAUUUAAUAUCCUACCAAAUGUUCGUAAAAUCUAUUAAUUUUUUAACAAAUAAUAGUAUUAAAAUAUUAUCAUUAAACAUUCUUAUUAACAUCUUAUAAAAUAUACACGUUCUUUAAUUAACAUAAAUAAUAAGAUAUACAAUUAAUUGAUUUCCUUUUCUAUAUUAUUCAUAUCUUAAUUAAUCAGUGUGUAUUCAGUUUGAAUUUCAAAUUUCAAAUUUCAAAAGAUUCAACUUGAUAAAUAGAAAAGAUUUAAUGAUAUUAUUUUAGCAUUUGUUUUUAUUUAUGAUUUUUGGAUGGAGGAGGUUUCUUAAAGUGUUCCUUUAGAUAUUAUUAUAAUUUUUGUAUUGGGAUUCUUUUAUAUUAAUUGGUUUGAGAUUCUUCAAAGUAAUUAUUAAAAUUAUUAAAAGAGUCACAAGAAUAUCAUAAGGUAAAUAAUUUAUACGUGAAAAAUCUCAAAUUUUAAAAGAAUCUUGCAUUGCACAAAUUUUGUUAUUAAUUUUUUUUAGAGAAUCUCGAAUAUAUAUUCUAAAAGAAUAUAGUAUGGUCUUAAUUUAAUAUUAAAAUUAAGAUUCUAAAAGUUUUAUUAUCAAGUUUUCUCUGAAUAAAAGAUUCUACUAGAAGUUUUCUCUGAAUAAGCAUAACUAGAACACAAACUAGAACAUCCAUAAACAACUAGAACACAAACUAGAACACCCAGAAACUAACUGAAGAACAACUUCCACAAGAACCUAGUAUUCUAAGCAAACAUAACUAGAACACAAACUAGAACACCCAAAAAUUAACUCAAGAUUAACUUCCACCUUAGUAAAGAACCUAGUAUUCUAAGAAGAUCAUCUAGUAUUCUAAGAAGAUCAUGUGGAAUCCUCGAAACUUUCCCUCUCCAAGAGAUUCUGAUCAACAUCCAUCAAGUCUUUACUCGCGACGUAGAAACAGGAAAUCGAAGAAUCAAAAAGUAGGACCUCCGAGGAAAACAAAAGCUAUUAAGAACAUAGGUUAGCAUUCUCCGAAAUGUUUGGAUCAUGGAGAUUCUUGAGCAUUCUAUCCUCAAGAACAUCCUGAGCAUUUUAUCCUCCAGACUUGGGAACUCACAGAUGAACCAAUUUUCUCAUAAAUCAAUCUUCCGCCUCGUUCUUCUUCUGCCCAACUUGAAAUUGUUGACUCGAUUGGUUUGUACGACUUGAAAUUAAAAAAACUCAAAGGUUGAGGGUACUCCUUGAUGUUAAAAAGUAGAACCUUUUCGAAUCCAAUCUCCACAACCCAUUGCCUUUGUGCAUCUGAAAGAUUGUUCACGAUUCUUUUUAAGAAGAUAGGUUUGGCUCAAACCAACAAACGGUCGGUGUUCUCAUGGAGAUUCUUCUCCACCAUUAUAUCUCUGAAAAUGAAGCGAGGCUAUUUUGCGAUAGUUUGAAAAGGAAUACAAGAGUCACAACAAUUAAAUGAUAUGAAAAAGAUUUAAGAUCGAUGAGAAUGAUAUGUCGUACAAACCUUCGAUUGAUGAAUCAUAGUGUUUACACGACCUCGUAGUUUUCUCCUGCUUACAAUUCUAGUGGUUCUUCAUCACAAUGUAUACAUGUAAUGAUCUGAUAUGUAAAGAUUUGUGAUUAAUUUAUGUGCUUUGAUUGGAUUUUGGCAGAUGCCAAAAUUAUAAAAUUUCUAAUUAAUCAAAAAUAGAUUCCUUACGAUUUUGCCCUUGUGUGUGUUAGAUUUUGAUAUUUUUUGAUUGGAUUUAAUUUGGGAAAUGAUUAUAUAUGACAAAAAUAAUCAACGGCAUCUAAGAGGGUUUUUCAGUUUUCUUGAUAAUUUGGUUUUCUCUGGAACCUCACUCAUAUAUAUAUAGGCUCAUGAUCAAAUAGAAACCACUCUUAAAAUAAAAACUAGAAACCAGUUUCCCUACCACUAUUUAUAACUACGGGUAUCACUAAUUUAUACUGCACUAAUCACUGUUUUUAUAGAGUAUGUAAACAGCGAUUUUUAUCAUCAAAAUUGAGAAAAUUUACUUAUCUAAAUUAUUGAUAAUCGAUUAUAGAUGAUUAAUUUCAUCCGUAGGAAGGUUCUUGGUGGUAGGAAGCCGCAAUAGAAGCUGUAUGAUGAUGGUAAAAUAAUCGUUAGUUUUGUAAGUUAUGAUGGAAAGUGUAUGUGACUAUUGGUGAUGAUAGAACAAUGGUGGCAAGUUAUAANNNNNNNNNNNNNNNNNNNNNNNNNNNNNNNNNNNNNNNNNNNNNNNNNNNNNNNNNNNNNNNNNNNNNNNNNNNNNNNNNNNNNNNNNNNNNNNNNNNNNNNNNNNNNNNNNNNNNNNNNNNNNNNNNNNNNNNNNNNNNNNNNNNNNNNNNNNNNNNNNNNNNNNNNNNNNNNNNNNNNNNNNNNNNNNNNNNNNNNNNNNNNNNNNNNNNUAUAUAUAUUAUGUUUCAUGUAAAGUAUAUAUUCUUUCUUAAAAUUUUAGUUGUUAUGAUAUUAUAUAUUUUAUAAAUUGAUAGUAUAAAUGAUAAAUAUUUUUAUUAUCUAUUUGUAUAUCCUUUUAUAAUAUUAAUAUGUAUAUGCUUUUAUAAAAAAAUAUAGAAUAAUCUAUUAUUCUAUAUGCUUUAAUAAAAAAACAUAAAAAUAUCUAUUUUUUAUAUAUUUUUAUAAUAUUUUCAAUAUCUAUUUGUAUGUUUUUUUUAUAAAAAAACUUGAAAAUAGAAAGGAUUACCUAAUAACUUUCAAAUUAUAAAUAUAGCUCAAAAUUUAUUAUUUAUAAUUUAAAUUCUAAUAAAUUGAAAUUUGAUUAAAUUAUAUUAACCUACUCAUAUAUUUUUUCUUAAAAUUUUAGCUGUUAUGAUAUUAUAUAUUUUAUAAAUUUAUAGUAUAAAUGAUAAAUAUUUUUAUUAUCUAUCUGUAUAUACUUUUAUAAUAUUGAUAUGUAUAUGCUUUUUUAAAAAACAUAGAAUAAUCUAUUAUCUAUAUGUUUUUAUAAAAAAAACUUAGAAAUAUCUAAUUUUUAUAAUAUUUUUAAUAUCUAUUUGUAUUUUUUAUAAAAAAACAUGAAAAUAGAAAUGAUUACCUAAUAACUUUCGAAUUAUUAUUUCUCAGAACCUCUAUUAUGUUACACAUCAAAUAGAUGAUACUACUAUGUACAUCUAUUUUGAAUUAAAUAUCAAUUCAAUUCUAUACAGCACUUGUGUAAUGUACAAGCAGUUUUCUUUAAACUUCAGUUUUACAACUAUAUCCAAAAGUCCACUAAAGAUGUUAAAAUAUGUGUUGCCAUCAUGACAGCACAUCUCCGGAGGAACUUUUUGACGAAGUGUGAGUUCUUUUUAGAUUUAAAAUUUAACGUCUAUGUUAUUUUCCAUAUCAAGUUUUUUGCUUAUACUAAUAUUUGAGCAUAUAUAUAUAGGUUGACAUAAGUGAAUUAUUUACAGCACUAUAUUGUGAGGAUCAUUCUUGUCCCUUAGGAAAAAAAAUUGUUUGUAUAUUUUUAAUAGAGAAUCAUGACUAUAAGACUAUCAGUUGCAUGGAGCACUGGACUGUUUUUUUUUUUCAAUUUGUGAUGCCAGAGACAUAUAUAUCCUUGGAAUAUGAAAUAUAAUCUGCGGUACUUUAGGCAAGUGAUAUAAGUAAAAUAGUAAUAGUGCUAUUCUAAAUUCCUUUAAGUUGGCUUACAUAAUACUACUGCUUAAUUUGACAGAGUGCAACUUUUCAUUUCUUCGAACCUGCUAAACUAAUUCUUAUAAAGGGAAAAACUUGAGAAAAAGGACAUCAAGAGGCUUACUAAGUCCUAACUAUGCCUUACAUUUGAAGACCUUAAAUAGAAAUGUUUUUCUUCACCUUAUGUAUAUUCUCUCUCUGUAUACACAUGAUAUACACACUUGAUUAAAGUUUGGUUUGUUUAUUCACUAAUUUAUAAUCUAGAUGAAUAUAACCAAUCGGUUAAUAAAAUUUUAUACAAUUUUAUUUAAUUAAUAAUAAAACGCUAAUAAAAGGAUAUUAAGUUUAUAAAUAAUAAAAUUAAAAAAAUAUGGUCGCCCGUGCGAAGCACGGGUUAUAGGCUAGUAUUAUACUAAUAAGGGAACUAGUACUUAAACGAAGAAGAAGAUUACUGUUGUGUUUGGUUGAGGUGAAUGAAAAUGGAAGGAAUGGAAUAAGAUUUGAACUAUAAUUUAGUUGAAUGUAUAGUAAUUUCAUUCCUUCUACCAUUCCAUUCUUAUCACUCUUAACUAAAGCUCCAACUCUCCAUUUUGUGAAGGAAUGAUCCAUUCCUUAUCAUACCUAUUUUCUACCCAAAUCUUAUCAUACCAAAUUUGCUCUCAUUCAUUUUUUUCAAAGUCCUUCAUCCUACACUCUAUUAUUUUCUUUUAUUUUUACUCAUUCCAUUCACCCCAACUAAACAUAACAGGUCGACAAGGGUGAUGGAUAAUAAACAUAAACUAAUCUAACAGAAACACACACGAUUAUGAAAACUACAGCAAUUACUAGAUAGUAGUAAACUUGGAGAAGGCCCGGCUCGUUGAAUAAAGAGGCCCUGUGCUAAAUGUGGAUAUUGGACCCUUAUUAUCAAAAAACAGAAUAUUCAAUGAGGCCUCUGCUAAAUGUGUAUAUCGGGCCCUUAUUAUUGAAAAACAGAUGCACAAUUCAAUUAGCCACUAAACUGGAACACGUUAAUUGAAUGGAAAGAUAUAAUCAUGUUCAUUGAAAUAGAAGCUUAAAUUUUUGUAAGUCGAAGCUGAGAGAGAGGAAUACAGGACAAAAUCAUCAGACUCUGCAUCUUGAUUUUGUAUUAGUUAAGGUUUUAUUUUUUUCUUAUAGCGUUUUGUUUCGAUGCAGACAUACUGUAAUGGGCCUGAACUAUAAAACUCAGCAAUGGAUGCAAGUCGGAAAAACAGAAGUCUACACAGCAACGCAACUUGAGGGAGGAUUUUAAUUGAAAAACUAAACUUACAGCUCAGCAAUAUUUACAGUGAUGAAGAAGAUACAUACUUGUUUGUGAAAAGAGAGAAAAUGAAAUAUGGACUUAGAGCAUCUACAAGAGGCUCUUCAUUUAGGCUCCUAACUUGAUAUUUGAGGAGGGAGAAGCAAAAUGUUGCUCCAAGAGACUCUUAAGUGGCUCUUAAAUCUUAAGAGCCUCUUGUUUCUCUCUCCUCUCUCCUCAAAGUUAAGAGCCACCACAUGGCUCCUAACUUAUUUUUUCACAAUAAAAAAAUCCUUCCCUCCAAUCAACCUCCAUCUUUCCCUCUCUUUUGUUAUAGUGGAGCCCAAUAUAUGAAUAAAAUAUGAAAUAGAGAAGAGAUGUAGAGAGUAUUGUUGGAGUUUACACUCUUAACUUUGUCCUAAAUUACUAAGAGCCACAUUUUUUAUAUUAUAUUUAGGAGCCAACAAGGAGGCUCUUGGAGAUGCUCUAACAAGUUAGCUAUGACCCUAACUAUCUAUUUAUAUAGAUACAGCUCGUAGAAUAAUGUACUACUCCCUCCGUCCCCCUCAAUUGUUUACAUUGGAGGGGGACACGGAGACCAAGACAAUGUAUGAAAAAUGAGUAAAGUUAGAUGAAAAGUGGGUAAAAUGGUGGGACCCAUCAAUAUUUAAUAAUAGAUUUGAGAUAGUGGAGGAAAGUAGUGGGUGUAAUAGUAGUUUUUAUUGUUAAAUAUGAGAUAGUGGGGGAGGAUAGUGGGUGUAAUGAUGGGAAAAACUUAUUAUUUAUAGUAGAGUUAAUUGCAAUUGGCACCCCUUUGGUUUCGGCUUAUUGCACAUUGCACCUAAUAGUUUUGGAAAAUACACUUUGCAUCCCCAGACUUUUAACCCGUAGACACUUUGCACCCUUUCCGUUAAAUUCUACCGUUACCGUUAACUUUUGCAGGGGCAUUUUGGGAAAUUUAAUUAUAUUUAAUUAAAAUCAAACCUUUAUUUAAAUUUUUUGAUCAUCUAAACGAUAUUUUUCGGAAAAAUUUAAAGAACGAAAGUUGUAGAGAAUAAAAAGAUCUUCUUAGAACUAUAAGGUUCAAAACUUUCGUAAUUCUUUUUAUAAUUAUUUUUAAAAAAAUUCAAAAAUUAGCAAUCUUGUAAAAAUGAACAAUCGUUUUUAAAUAAUUAUUUAAAUUUUGAACCUUAUUGUUCUAAAAAGAUCUUUUUAUUCUCUACAACUUUCGUUCUUUAAGUUUUUCCGAAAAAUAUCGUUUAGAUGGUCAGAAAAUUUAAAUAAAAGUCUGAUUUUAAUUAAAUAUAAUUAAAUGUCCCAAAAUGCCCCUAAAAAAGUUAACGGUAACGGCAGAAAUUAACGGAAAGGGUGCAAAGUGUCUACGGGUUAAAAGUCUGGGGCUGCAAAGUGUAUUUUCCAAAACUAUUAGGUGCAAUGUGCAAUAAGCCGAAACCAAAGGGGUGCCAAUUGCAAUUAACUCUUUAUAGUAACGUAAAGAAAUGAGAGGGAAAUCCCAAUAUAGUAACUGUAAAGAAAUGAGAGGGACAGAGGGAGUAUCAAAUAUUUAGCCGCCGCUUGUCUUACAAAUGGUUACAAUGAUCCGUACUAGGACGCUAAUAACAGAUUUUGUCCUGUUUGCAGACUAGAGACUGUGAAAUUCAGAGUUUGUCCCUUAACGUACAGAUUCCUCGUACACUUUGUUAUGCCCAGAAUUUGAAGUUAUUUUGUUAGGAUGGAUUAUAAUCCCAAUAGAACAAAGACGAGUGUAUACUAGUAAAUUUAUGUUACAUUGGCACAUACAAUUGGAACCAUGCACAAGAUGUGUUCUGCGUACAAGGCUGUAAAAUUUUACAUGACGGGGCGAUAGUGAUACAUGCAAACGCCUUCAUAAUCCUUCUGCUAAGAAUUGAAUCAUCAAUCUUCAUUAAGUUAGUGCUUGAGUUAUUCAUGCCUAUAAAUAUUAUAUUUUAUAUAUAUUAUGAUCAUUCCAUGGAGUAACUCUCGACUGAACUCGGACGAAUACCAUCUUAAAAUUAAUUUUUAUAGUAUUAAUAAUACUAGCCUUUAACCCGUGCAAAGCACGGGCGACUAUAUAAUUUCAAUUUUAUUAUUUAUAAGUUUAAUGUAUUUUAUUAAUAUUUUAUUAUUAAUUAAAUAAAAUUUUAUUAAAUUAUAUAUACCUACUGGUUAUAUUCAUUUUAGAAAGUUUGUCUUGUACAAUAUUUUUCUAUAUUAUAACACAUUAGUAUAAAAAAUUAAUAUUUUUAUUACCAUAUGUGAUUUUUUUUCUUAAUAUUAAUAUAUGAUAAUGUGUUUUUCAUUAAUAUUAUUUCAUAUUUUGCAUAUUUCAUUGCAUAGCCUAGGUGACUAUAGUAUUCUAAAAAAUUUAGUUAUAUUAAAAUAUUGAGAUAACAUUUUAAGUUAUUGGAAAGAAUUUAUUCAUUUAUAUAUUUUAGGUAUUAAAAUGUUUUUGUUUGAGACGUGUUAAUUAGUGUAAUGUGUCCUGACAUUCUGAGGCCUUUUUUAGAUAGCUUAAGUUGGUAGGUACUGCAGUAGGGAUGAUCAAAAUCGAACCGAAAAUCGAAACCGAAACUAUGAAAAUGGGGACAAAACCGCACCACAAAAAACCGAACCAAUUAAUAACUGAACCGAAUAAAAACCGGACCACUAAUAUAGUUCUAUAUGCGGUUUGAUUUUGAAAUUUUUAAAACUGAAUACAAACCAAACCGAACCAGAAAAAAUUAAUUAUAUAUAAUUUUCGAAUUAUGUAUAUUAAUAUUUUAAUUUAAUUUUAUAGACCAUCAUAUAAUCGUCCCAUAUAUUAUGGGAUGUUUAAUUCUUUUUCUGCUUUACUUCGCCGACAUUUAAGUUUUUUUAUAUGCUAAAACAGAAGGCGACAACUAAACUGGUAAGUGUUGCACAGUGCACAGGUUACUUCAAUAAACAUUAUAAUAUCUUUCAUUUCGUAGUAGCAUUAAAUAUAAAAACUUCACCGUAUUAAAGUACUCGUGAAUACGAAUCUAACAAGAUCACUCAUGACUAUAUUUAGUUUUAUAGAUUAGAUGUAAAUUAGUAAUUUGUCUCAUGUUAUGAACAGUACCGACAUUACAAAUAGGAAAAGAAAAAAGAUACGGAGGGAGUAGUAAUUUAUAUGAGAUACUUGUGAGGGUGUUUGCCAUAGCUCAUGUAUAUAUUAUUUUAUAUAUUUAAAUUAUUUUAAAUUAUAACGUUAUUUAUAUAUUCAUAUCGUAUUUUAAUAAAUAUAUUAAAAAAUUAUAUAUUUGGUUUUGAAACCGAAACCGCACCAUUUAAAACCGAAUUCAAAAAACCGAACCGCACCAUUUAUAUAUAUGCGUUUGGUUUUGUGUUUUAAUUUUACAAACCGAAAACCGCACCGAACCGCACCAUACUCAUCCCAAACUGCAAGUGCUGAUUUUUUCUCAUCUAUAUCUCAAUGAACAGUUGUUCAGAGACAGUGAAGACAAGGCUUGGUAAUGUACAUAUAUUAAGCAUGCAAGUUGUUGAGUGGCUAAGAUGAUGUAGAUGCACGCACAACACAAGUUCUGGUCAUCCCACAUCUGAUGCACAUGAAGAUCUACUACUGCACAUAUGUGGUUGGGUUAUUGAUGUAGUUAGAAGAGUAUUGCAUCUUGCUACAAGGUUCAUAUAGCUGCAAUUGUUAAUAUUCUCUGCAGGGAAAUUGUAUUAAAUAGUAGGGCAUUCUGAUUGUGGUGAGGAUGUGUAGGGAUUAGAACAAGUCUUACAAAUUAUAUUGAGCUGCAGUCUCCUUAAAUUUUCUUACUGCAGCAGAACUAAGUUAAAGUUAAUAACUACAAGUAAUUAUUAUAGAAGUAGUAGGACACUUUCAAAAAAAUUGUGUUCCCCGGAAAGAUAACUGCUAAAACUGGUGAAAUUGUUACACAAGUGUUGUAUAGAAUUGAAUUGAAUUGACGGUAAAUUUAAAAUAGAUCUAGAUAGAAGUCAAUGGAUAAUGUAAGAUAAGCCGAAAGGCAUCCCAUCUGCUUCCAUGAAUGGCCUUUCUGAUAAAUCAACUUUUGCGAGUUCUGCAAGAGCAUUCAAAUCCAUUGAAAGCAAAGAUGCCUAAAAUUAUAGCAGAAAAGAAAGGAAGUCAAUGUCAUGUAAUAUGAAGCAGAGGAAAAUAAUGGAAGCUGCCUGAGUACUUAAAGCAAACAAAAAUAUCAACUAAUAUAGGAACAAAUUAGCUGAAUAAAACAAACAUACGAUCCUGAACCAUGGUAUGAAUAUAAAUACAAUGCUACCGGUUAUAUUGCAUAUUUUCCUUCUGCUUGUUUGAUAUUAUGCGUUCAUUUAAAGGUUCUUGGACUCCUUAACCACAUCUUUUCUUGUAUUACUAUUACAACACACAGUUCAGCACGACCUAGGGACAGGCAAAAUUGGGAAUCACCACAAUCAUCACAAUAUUAAACAAUCAUAUAUGCAUAUAUGUAGAAUGCUCCUUUAUUCUUAACACAAAUUCCUAAUUUCAAUCAAAUUGUGUCCCACAACAACUCUCCUAUCAAUCAUAUGAUAAAUACGACACUUCAGCAUCGACAAGAAGGAAUACAAGGGACAAAAAAUGGUUAAAAUAUAGAUCAGAUGGUUCUCCAGUAAGAGAACAUAGGUCACACCAUAAUAAUAUAGAAUAAAUAUAGACUAUAAUGAUAGUCAUGCACUUGUUUUUGCUGAAAUUACUAUUGUGCUGCAUCUGGUGCAUCAGUAACUGCUAUUCCUAUACCAGCUUUCUUCAGAAAGGGGGAUCAUUGACACAAUCUCUAGUCAUACCACAAAUAUGCUUCUUCUCCUGUAACUUCUUUACUAUUUCAUACUUGUGCUCACACUUAAAAAGGACCUAAUAAUAGCUAGACCAGAUGAAAUAACAAUACAAACCGACCCCAAGCAGCUGCAGUACUCUAUUAGUGCUUCAAAACAACAAAGAAAGAAAAAAAAGAGAAACAAAGAUUGUAUGUAUAGUAGAAAUCAUAGACAAGUAUAUCAUGAUCAACAGAUAAAACUUGCUCAAUCAGCUUUAUAAUAUAGUCUCACCAUAAACUCAAAAUCAACACUAUUUGUGGAUAUCCAGAUUCUUCACUCAAGUACAUCUCAAUUACUUUAUAUUCGUGUCGUAAAACACUCCUCCCUCUGUUUUCAAAAUAGAUGACGCUUAACUGGUAUCUAAUUCAAAAUCAAGUUUUUUUAAACAGAUAAAAUUUGCUCAAUCAGCUUUAUAAUAUAGUCUCACCAUAAACUCAAAAUCAACACUAUUUGUAGAUAUCCAGAUUCUCCACUCUUUUAACUGGGAUACGAAACAGUUCUGAUAUGGAACAAGAUAGACUACACCACCCCCCUUGGAUGUUCCCGGUUCUAAUUAAGCCUGAAAAUGGCUUUAUAUGACUUAUUUAGUUUGUGCACUGAAUUUGUGAUAUUUCUUCUUGAUUUGUAUGGUUUAUCCAAAUCUUACUUAUAUUUAAUUUUCCUGUUUGUUGCUGCAUUAUUACCUUGUAGGUUAAUUUUCUGCAGGCCAAUAACAAUCAUCAGCUUGCAAGGCCGCAAAGAAGGUGACAGUUCUUUUCAAUGUGGUUCUGACCGUCUCAUAGCUGAGUGAGUUGAUGUUUCAAACAACUCUCGGAUCAAACCUGGUCUGCAACAGUAAGACAUACACCUAAAAUAGCUGAAUCCCCGGCUUCCAUUCUAGGACAAGUACUUGAAGAAGAAUUAUCUUGGUAUUUAUUUAACUGCUGUUUUGUGUAAAAGCAUGUGAUAAUUUUUUUAGAACUUCCGACUAGUUGAACUGUCCUUAACAGGGCUAUGGAAGAAACAAAAUUUGUAUAAUAUUAAUGAAGUCUAGCACAAAAUAAUUGCAUUUCACAAGAAAUUUUACGUAGUAAGAUUUUAAUCAGGAUGCUAGCAAUUUAUUCAAUCAGUUUAGUAGUUUACUGUUAUAAAAGAAAAACCACAAAUACCAAACAAAUCACCUUAAAAUUUCAAGUUAAUAAUUAAUUAUGGAGUUUCAAAAAAUUAUAUUUAGAAUUUAAAAUUAUAGGUGGCAUGAUCAAUUAUUAAUUAUUGUAUACAGAACUAAAUCAGAAUAUUAUACUGAACUAUAUAUUUAAAUUUUAUAUGAUUUUUAUAUUGCUUUAGAUUAUAGACUAAUUCAUAAAUAAUAGUUUAUAAUGUUUAAUUUUAUAAUUAUCAUUUAUAUAUUAUUUUACUAUAUAUAUAAUUAAGACCAAUCUCUUUGCAUCAAAGGUGAUAUCGCUUUGUUUAUUCAUUCCUUUAAUUAUAUGUUACAGGGACAGCAGCACUGAUCUCUCCGUGAUCAUAGGGGCCAUGUAUGCAGCCGUAUUAUUUGUGGGAAUCAACAAUUGCUCAACAGUACAACCAAUUGUAGCAGUUGAAAGAACAGUAUUUUAUCGCGCAAGAGCAGCUGGGAUGUACUCUGCAAUCCCUUAUGCCUUAUCACAGGUAGUUUAUCGAAAUCUCUCGAUAUCAAUUUUCACUCAUCAAUAAAAUCUGUUCAGACCUGCUAAUCAAGGGCUUUCGUCGAUGCAGGUAUUUGUCGAGAUAGCAUAUGUGCUUGUCCAAACCAUAUACUACACUCUUAUAGUGUAUGCAAUGGUGUGCUUCGAAUGGACAGCUGCAAAAUUCUUCUGGUUCUUCUUCAUAACAUUUUUCUCCUUCCUCUACUUCACAUACUACGGAAUGAUGAUUGUGUCAAUCACACCAAACCAGCAAGUAGCCGCCAUUUUUGCAGCUGCAUUUUACGCGCUCUUCAAUCUGUUCUCCAGUUUCUUCAUCCCCAAACCAGUAAGUCACUUCCACAUUUAUCCUCUAAAAAUUCAGAAUAUCAAAAGAAAAAAAAAUCUAAGUCUGCAUUUUCUUGUUUUAUAAAAAUUACCAGAAAAUUCCUAAGUAGUGGAUAUGGUACUACUACCUCUACCCCGUGGCAUGGACUGUCUACGGAAUAAUAGUAUCACCCUAUGGCGACGUAACAGACACCAUCACAGUUCCAGGAAUGUCGACUAAACCAACCAUCAAAUGGUACAUAAAUGAUCAUUAUGGGUAUGAGUCGGAUUUUAUGGCGCCAGUAGCUGUGGUAUUAAUUGGUUUUACAGUCGUUCUUGUAUGCUUACUGCCUUAAAACAUUGAAAUUCCUGACAAAGUAGAGGACUGAAGAUCAGAGGGAGGUCUGUGAGUGUAGUAUAAUGGAGAAAUUGGACAGCAUGAAGAAGAAUAGUACUAAUGGUAAGAAAGAUUAUGACGGGGAUGAGGGUGUGGAGAGAAGGAGGGCAAGGAGAGAGAGGUCGAAGUUGAGGACAAAGAAAACGGAGAAUGGUAUUAAUGGUGGUGUAACUGUAUGUACUUCUGAUGAAAAAGUGAUUGAUAGUGCUGGGAAGAUGUACUGUAGUAAAUACUAACAUAAGAUUUUAGUUUCUACAGACCAUAACAAUAAAGUUUUUCAAUCAAGACAAAUAGAACCAAUUACCUAAUCCGACUUCCUUCCAUCAUCACUCACGACGCUUGUACGAUGAAUGCUUCCUAGCACCCCUUGCAUUCUCAUACUCAAAUUUCAACACAUGUGGUACAUGUGAAGUAUCCUUGACAUUGUUGUUGAGUCGCUCGACUAGUCGCGACUAGUCGUCGACUAGUCGAGUAGUCGGUGUGCAGGGCUCGACUGGGAUGGUCGACUAGACAGAUGUAAGUAUUUCGCCCGACUUAUGACUGACUGGUCGACUGGGUCGACUAGUCGGGUCGACUGGAAGACCCAGUCGGUCGACUAGUGUUCAAAUUCUAAAAAAAAUCAAAAACCCAGUUGUAUCAAAACCUAAAAACAAAAGCCCAGCAGCCUCCAGUCGAUUCCAAGCAGUCUCAGUCACUUCUAACAUCGAUUGAAUCGAUUCCAGUAGCUUUGUUUACUCUGUUAUUACUUACAUUUACACACACUCUGUUAUUACACACACUUGCACACUCUAUAAUCAGUAGUCACUAGUUGCAAUAGGCAUUGUUUAAUGCCAGUACACACACACAGAAUCACAGUUGCUUUGUUUAAUCUGCAGAAUGGCUGAUGCAUCGAACAAGGCUGUUUAUGCAUAAUUAAAAAGUGAGAAUGUAGAAGUUAGAACAGACAUAUAUAAUUUAUUACACAUAUAAAUAUAAGUAUAUAUAAUAUAUAAUAUUAAUUUUAUACCUUGUCGACUAGUGUCGACUAGUCUACGACUAGUCUCGACUAGUCACGACUCGACUUGCCGGAGAGUCUAGUCGACUCGACUCGACUUACCGACUUAACAACCAUGAUCCUUGAAAUAUAACACGCUCCCAAUUGGACUCUCUUCAAUCAUAGGAAAAUAUAAUUAACAAUAUAAAACCAACCCCCGUCAAGCAAAGCACCCAAUGUAACACCCUAAAACACCUGUACAACAGUAUAAGAACUAACUCUCAUCAAUAACCUCUAAUAUCAAACUUGAAAAGUACCGACUUCAAGGAGACUUCUACACAGCCUAGUUGAACUGACCUUAAGAGGGCCCUAAUUACGUGCUAAGAAUAACUAACUCUCAUAUCAAACUUGAAAAGGCAUAAUCAAAUUAUCAUAUUCAUAGGUAAUUAUCAAAUUAUCAUAGGUAAUUGUAUCUAAAGCAACAAUUAAAACUGGAUAAACAAAAAACCAAAUAAAUAAGUGAUUACCUCCUUGGACUGUAUGUGAAGAUACGAAGCUCUCCCCGAUAUGGAGACGGAGACAGAGGGCGAUGAAGACAGGGACAGAGAGCGAAGGUGAGUGUAUUGGUGAAUGUGAUGGAGAGGGAUACUGAUACUUGUAUCCUGUUCUAUUUGUUUUUGAUACUUCUAUCCUGUUCUAUUUGUUUUUGUUUUAAAAAGCAAGACUUGAAUUGUUCGUUAUUCUCAGCAGGGGUAAUAUAGGGUAAGCGACGAAACGAAACUAAAAGACUAAACCAAAAAUUUUGUACGAAAAAACAACGACCAAACCAAAAAUUGUGAAGGAAAAGUAGGACUACAAAUUAUACCCAUCUUGGCUUUUUAUAGUAUAGUAUAGAUUGAGAUUUUAAAAUUAUAUAAUCUGAAUAAUCGUAUUAUAUAUCAUUUUAAAAUUUUCAAACAAUAUAAAAUACAAAAUAAUUGCAAAAGAAAUAACUCGGUGUCCGUCCCGGACUCUAAACUAGAAUAAAUUUAAUAUAAAAUCCAUAAAUAUUAUAUUUAAAAUUAUGAUCACUAAUGGAAGGAAAAUGCUAGAUGGGGAUGGGCAUUUUACCGCCCCGCUCGACCUCAAUCCGAUUCCAGUCACGUUCGUAUCGGGGGAGCGGGGACUUUUUUGGGUAAAGGAUGGGGGAUCGGGGGAAGUUUAUUAAAUAUUCGGGGAUCGGAAAGGGUUCGCAUAUUGUCUCCCCAUCCCGAUGAGCCCAAAAACUCCUCAAUUUUCAUAUAUAAUAUAAAUAUUAUAUUUAUAUAUUAUUAUAAUACUACUUAUUAAUUAUAAAUAUAUAUUAUAUAUAUAGUUUAAAUAAUCUUCAUCAUUUUAUUAUUUAAAUGUAUUCAUAUUAUAACAUAAAUUAAUUAUAAUAAAUAUAGUUAUAUCUUCUAAUUUUUUGUGUUAGUUUAAAUUAAUACUCAAAAUGCUACAUAAAAGUAGAAACCUAUUAUGUACAAUGACAUAUUAAUACAAUUUUAAAUUAGAAUUUAUAUUAUAAUAUUUUUAAAAAAAUUAAUGAAUUCUCCAAAUCCCACAUUCAGGGCGGGGAUCGGGGAGCAAACGAAUUCCGUUCAGAAAUUGAGGCGGGUUCGGAGAUCGGAGACGGGGAUAACAUUCCGCGACUCGGAAGUGACCCAAAGCCCGUCCCUAAUGCUAGAUAUCCUAAAAAGGUGUUGCCAAAUCAUUAUCCCAAAUAUAGUUAACGACCUUCAAUAAUAAUAAAUGAUCUACAUAAAUCACCCAAUUAAAAUUAUUCAUAUGUUAUUUGAAAAAAUUUCGAUUCAACCAAAAAUAAGAAGCAUGAGAAAAAGUAAAACUCCAAGUCCUCUCGUUUAAGAGCCAUUACAUGACUCUUAUAUUACUCUUUUAUAAUAAAAUUCAUUCUCUCCCAUUUGAAUUUGAAUUUUUGUGAUAAUGGAGUUCAAAUAUGAAUAAAAUAUAAUGUUAGAAGUGAGUAUAAAGAGCAUUAGCGGAGUUUAUCAUUACACGACUCUUAAUUUAUUUUUAUAAUAAAGUAUCCAUUCCCUCUCAUUUGAAUUUGAAUGUUUGUCACAGUGGAGUUCAAAUAAAAAUAAAAUAUAAUGUUAGGAAGGUAUAUAAAGAUUCACACUCUUCAUAAUGUAUUAAUUUACUAAUAACUUAACAUUUUAUAUUAUAUUUAAGAAUAACCAGGAGCUUAUUGGAAAUGCUCUAACACAAGGAACCGAAUCCAACAGUUUCGGUUCGGGUCUUUCUACAGCGUUUUUUAUCCUUCUUGCACAAGAUCAGACUACUGAAACGAUGUGACAUGCUUGAAUGUAGCAACACAAGUACAUGCACCCAAUUGAACUACUGUGGAUAUUACAAAAACCACAAAGUCAUAUACUACACUAAGGAAGCAAUUACAUCCUUUUACUACAGAAACUCUACCUACAAAGUUAUCUAAAUCAUUAAUAUAGAGCUCCUAACAAGUGACUAAAUCAAUUAAAGAGGGACAAUACAACUGCAUAUUGUUAAUCAGCUACAACAUUAAGUGACUAUGAAAUCACUAAACCAAUGCAUACAGCAAGACCACAGCUAUAUAUUAUCAAUUCGCAACCUUUCUGUGCCCAGCAAACCAUAUCGCACAAAAUGGCUCCAGAAAACAACAGUACUCGUUCUGAAACUAGUUUGAGAACGAGAACACACGCAACAAUUAAACAAACUGUUAUUAUGGUGAUCUCCUUCUUUUCCAGAUAUGCUUGCUCGCCUGCAACUUUUUCGAUAUCUAAUCUGCAAAUCAAGUUAAACAUAACAGGAUCAACACAUGCUUCAAAACAUCAGUUAUUAUGCCAAGUAUAUUAGUUUCAAGUCAAAAUAUCAGUUAUAAUGUGAGAUAUGUUACUUUUAAGUCAAAAUACAGGUUAAAUUUGUCCUGAGCAAAUUCAUGGAAUUUUAGAAUCUUGCAGAACUGACCAUUUGAGCAGGAAAAGAUAAACGUGUAUGAGCUUAUACGACUAGUACAUGUGCGUAUCACAAACCUCAAAUUAACAUUUUCUCUUAUCACUGAUUCCAGCUUCGACAUGACGCCACUUUUCCAUGAAUCAAUGUCAGCAACUUCUUUCUCCUGCAAAAUCAUAUGAAUCACAUUAAAAAUGACAAAGUUAACAUAAAUGGUUUACAUGCCAAGUGAAACUUAAAGAGUAAUGCAGAUGUGCACGCACCAUAAUCUCUUUCCAUUCUAAAAUAUCCUUGACCUCGAUUUUGCUCUUUUCCAACAGCUUUUUAUAGUCUGCAAUUUUUUUCUCCAGGUCAGGUAUAACCUCUGUUUGUCCAUUGUUUAAUCGUUUGAUGUACUCCUCCAAUGCGGAUAAAUUUGUUUCAAGUGACCUCACCUUCUGCAUUAAUAUUUUAAGAACGACAUCCCCGUGUAUUCUACCACUUGAUUGUUGUCUAACUUUGACUGUCGGAUUGACUAUAGGAUCAGGGAUGUUGCUUACUGUGACUUGAACUUUUGGUGCAUCAACUGUUGGCUUAUUCCCAUCAUCAGCCCCUUCUACCCCUUUACUUUUACUAGAGACAUCAACCGCCUGUUUAGCUUCACCAUCAACCUUUUUAUCAUUAACGCCUGAUUCUGGUUUUGCAGACAGAGUAAUAGUUGAAUUAGGUUUUGAUAAUUUAGUGGAAGCACUUUCCUCAGAUUUUACAAUGAGAUCUUCAAGCAUCUGCUCAAUUGCAUCAUCUCCAUACACUCCCACAAGACUCAACGUGCAGUAAAAUUCUGAUCCAUAAUGACUAAGCAAAUUCAGCUUUAAGUAUCUCACCCACUUUGGUUCAGGUAGCUUAAAACUUUGAGUAUGCUUCACAUUUGCUGCGACAAAGCUUCCCAAUGAGUACCAUAUCUCAGUUGGAUAAGUCAAACUACCAGACAAAUUAAACUCCUUAAAAUUAGAAGAAUAAUGUUCAAAAUUUGCAAUUUUGACAGCAUCUACCAGCGUCUCCUCAGCGAGUUCAAUGACAACAUAUUUCCCCCCAAUUGAACAAGGAUUUCUCAAAUAUUUAUCAUGGUCUUUCCCCAAUAUGUUGCUAGCUCCUUUUGCUUCCUUGUUGUGCGCAACCACCUUUGCACCCUUUGAAUCAGAGGCGUAGUUGUAUUCCGUCCCAUCAGGUUCAAGUCUAUGGGUAAUAUUAACGCGUGCAUUUGGUGUAGAGCCUUUUUCUUUCAUUGUCAUGUUUAGUGAUGCAUCAAAAGAUGCUUCAUAUGUUCUAGCAGUAUCAAAUUUUCCCGUUUUUGUAUAUCUAUCUUCAUCUUGCAGGUUAAGCUCACACAUCAACUCCCUAUACCCUAAUAUACUCUGGACUAAAUCUUUCCGACGACAUGUUCCCUGAGGUGAUUUCCUCGAAUUUGUAUUGUUAUGAUCCUGACCACUAGGUUUACUAAUAUUCAGAGGCACUUUAACUUCGAAAACUAAUUCUUGCUUAUAAUCAUCAUCCCUAUUUUCUACAAAAUCAUAUGCGAUGUCAGAAUGCUUGUCAUAAGAUAUACUUGAGUUAGUCAUGCUCCGAUUACUGGACUGUACAUUCCCUGUUCAAUACAAAUCUCAAUCACUACAAACUAUUACAUCCAAAAAAUCUAAAUACCAAACAAACAAUGAUCAUUUCAUUCAUAAUAAGUCUACAUAAUUUGACAUUACUACAAGGAACUCGCAUAAUUUCGACAGAAAAUCAUGAACCAUAUAUCCCACAAAUUCUUCCAGAAACAGAUUAACCCGCAAUAAAAAAAUCAAAAACACUAAAUUAAAUUCAAAAAAAAAUAAUCAAAAACCAAAGAGUGCCUAAAAUUUAACCCAAAGAUUCCAAAACCACUAAAAUUAAAUGCAUAAAAAUGGGUCUUAACUCACAAUAAAAAAAUGAAAACCACUAAAAUAAAAAAGUAAAAAGAUAAAAAAUUUACCUCCAUUACCGUAUGUAAGGCCAAGCUUAGAAUAAAACAAGAAAACAAGAAACCAAAAGGAGAUCAUUAAAGGCAAAGAAAGCUCAAACAAGCUCUUCUUCUCAAUGUCUUUUUGUGGGCCCCUUUUUCCAGACUUGAUGUAUAUGAGAUCACCGUUGUGGGUUUUCUUUUUCCUCAUAUCUCAUCGUCAUUUAACUUUUCCGGCGGCCGUUAAAAUUCAUCGGCGACAGGGGUGUUUUAUGUAGUUGGUGAUAUAAAUUGGAUUUAUUAUGUUGUGUUGCAUGUGGGGUUGUGUGAGAAUGUCUGAAAAUAUGUUUUAAUCGGAGAGGGAUGGCUUGUUUGGUUGGUGAGGUGGUGUUUUUGUGUGGCUGUGCAAAGGUUUGCUUCCGAAAGUACCGGAAAGUGUUUUACUACUUCCACUCCACUAUUUUUCUGUUUUUAAAUACUCCGUCUGUUUUUUAAUAUAUGACGAUUGACUUUUUGGCACACAUUUUUAAGUGUUUUGACCGAGUAGUUAAAAUAUUAUUUUUGAAAUUUUCUUUUUCUGAAUAAAAAUAUAUAAUCAAAAUUUUAAUUCACCAAAAAAAUCAAUUAAAAAUAAUGAUUUUUACUAUCCAGUCAACCCACCUAAAGGUACGUGCACAAGUCAAAAGUGACAUAUAAAAAAACAGAGGGAGUAUGACUACAGUCUACACGUGCAGACGUGCUACUUUCGUUUAUUGUUUUCAUGACUGUCUUAAUAUUUUUUUAUUAAAGAAUUUGAAUAUUUUAUGUGUUAGACAAAGAAAACAAAAUAAUUAUUUAUUUAACUCGUUUUUUCGACAGUUUGGGUCUGUCUCGGCUGGGUUUUGACGAGUGGUUUCUGUUAAUAAAACUAAUUGUAUGUCAAAAAAUAAUAAUAAGGAGAUGAUCUGAUGAUGAUCAAGCGUCUACAUGUUAAAUGUUAUUCUCUUCGUUUCUUUUUUUUUUUAAGAUUUUUUAUUUUUGACAUGUAUUUUAAAAUAACAGGUAAAAUAUAAUUUCAUAACUUAUUUUUAAAUUUAUUUUCUAAAAUAUUUGAUAUUAAAUUUUUAUUAAAAAAAAUUAAAAAUAAUUUAUAAAACUACAUUUAAUAUAAACGUAUUAGAAUAUGUGCUAGUUUUCGCAAGAUAAAGAACCUAGAAAGACAAAUAGAGUAUCUUGUCUCCAUUUUUAUUAUCCUAUAAGAAUUUCGGUACUGAUAUUACCAACCGGAGACACAUGCUCUCUGCUUCCACACACACACUGUUUUCAGGAUCUGGUGUGUUCAUGACCCAGAAGUAGAUAACUUCUUACACCAGGACACAUUAGCUGGAAAAAUGGUGGGCUUGUGAGAUAGUUGCGGAGUGGUCAGAAGCCAAGUCAUUCAUAACAACAUCCUGUAAGGAAUCUGGUAAAUCGCAAAGUUGUCUGGUUUAAGGCAUAACCAUAGGGCAUUUCAAUAUCAAAGCCAACAUCUGCGACAAACUCAAAGAGUCCAGAAAUUUGCUAGACUCUGGCUAAGAAGAUCCUGUUAUAUAGUCCGCAACAAGCCUCUGACAUUGUACAGAUGGUGUAGAAUUUCGUAGCUCAUUUCUUCCAUAUUUACAGUUUACAUUCAGUUGUGAAUAUUUAUGCCGACAUUUUUUUAAAAUUCAUGCAAAAAACUAUAAAAUCCACAUGCAUACACAGAUUGUAAUGUGGAACAUCCAGAAACAUAAAUAACAACAGAACACGAGUUUGGGGUUCCAAUUUUCAUAUUUAUCACAACAAGGAGGUCCACCUCACGGAGUAAACUUGCCACCAUGCUUUAGAAUGGGGAGCUGGGACACCUCCUCAACAAUCCGAGUUUAUCUUUUGCCCGGGCCUCAUCUUUGGCUUCUUCUGCUUCAAUGUUCUGCAUGAUGUUCACAAAAAACAUCUCAAAAUUUAACAUAUUCAAGAAUGCAGGACAACAUUUCCACCAAAUUUUCAUCAUCGGUUAGUACAAAACAUUGAAACUUUACAUAAAAAAUGCACAAUUCAAAUGGCACAAACCUCCACAAGGAAUGACAUCAUCACAUUGCACCAUUUCUGUAAAAUUGUGUUUAUGGGCUCACAAGAUUAGUUUGAGUGAAUAGUGCUGGUCUUUAACGCUGCCUGUUCAUGUCACUCAACAAAGAGAGUUUUGUUAACACAAGAAGCUAUUGUAAACAAAUAAAUUCUAAUAAAUUGAAGCUAGAUGACCAGGAAUAGGGUAUAUACCAAUCUAUGUCUGAGGUAACUGGUAAGCAUUCUUAACUUUCCAAUGAUUCAGCUCUGCUUCUAGUUCAACCGUGUACGCCUGUCCAUACAAAUAAAACAUUUGAGGUAUCACAACAGUAAAAAAUACACACUUCAGUUUAGAAACAAGAUAAGAGCGGUACAUGUUUUCUUGCUCUGGAUCUUACUGCAGACUCCCUGUUUUUCAGUAUCUUCUUUCGACGGUUCUCAAUGACCCUUUCCACAGGGCCAUUCCGCUUCCUUCCCUAUCCCAUCAGAGGAAACAUGACUCAUGUUGGUAUUACUCCCCCUCCAUGAACACUAUAGGCAAGUUGGUAUGUGCUGUCGCUACUUAUUCCACCUGGCAAGCAAGCCGCUACACUUGCUCUACCAAUUUGUGGCAGUGAUUUGAAUAGAGUAAGAAUAUUAAGCUACCAGCACCACCAUAUCCCAGAACCAUAAAGCUAGAUGCUGCUGUAUUUUCGUAGUUUACAUGCAUACCAUAGGCCAGUUGAGAGUGAGGCUGUGGCUGAAGCUGAGGCAGCUGAGGGGGAAGAGAAGGAGGAGGAGGUGGUUGUGCUUGUCUGGCACUUUCUUCUCGGACUACACCUGCCCUGACAAAAAAUUCCUCCAGUGUCAUUUUUCCAUAUGCAGGUUCGCUUUGCCUGGAACCAGAAUGAUCGGUGCUUUGCUGUGUUCUACUGAUCUCAGACCACACUUCUGCCCCUCUUUUCAAGCUCAUUUAUUUAAUUUUUUUAAAUUGAAAUAUUGAUUCCAGUAAUCGACCAAUAACAUGAUAUGAGAUAUGAUACCUUAAAAGCAUAUUAAUUUAACUCGUUUCCUCAACCUCAUAGGACUACACUGCGCAAACCAAACGACCCCUUGGAGUCUGUUUUAUGAUACCGGAUUUUAUUGGCGAUUUACCCAUUCACUGACUUUUGCUAGCCCUUUUCAAAUUUAAUCUUAAAAUUUUACAUGUUUAUAUAAUAAGUCAGAGACUGACAAUAUGUAAAAUAUGUGAGAACCUGAUUUAAUUUCAUAAGUUGGUAGGUUGUAUUUUUUUGAACAACUUAUUUUAUUUAAUGAUUUUUCUAAUAUAAAUCAAUUUCAUCAUUCAAAUGAAUAACAUAAUAAAUUACUUUUAUUAUUAUAAUUUUAAUAACUUAUAAGUCACAUACAAUGUAAAUUAUCUAGAUAACUUAAAUUACACACCUAUCAUGACAAAGAGAAAUACUUAUAUUAUAUGGAGGUAGAGUAGGGGUUUAUUGGUACCAUAAAUAUUCUAUAAAAAUGACAAAACCGAAAAUAUAAGGAUUACAUUUAAUCAUUUUUUGUUGGAACUUCUUGCAGUUACAAUUAAACUCAAAUAUAUUGUUCUAAUGGGGCUCCAGGUUUAUUAAAGAAAGAAGCUGCUCUAAUUCUUCUGCUACUUGCUUUGCAUCAGGUCUUGAUUUGGUAUCUACUGAGGUGCAUCUAAGUGCGAGGGAAGAGGCUGUUGAUGCUGCUCCUACAGUGUAUUGGCCUUCCAAAUGUGCAUCCAUUAUAUCCAAAAUCCCAUGCUCUUUGCUGAGCCGAGACUGAACCGAAGAAGCCAGGUUCACCUCAUUGUCGGCUUUUCGUCCUGUCAAAAGUUCCAGGAGGACAACUCCAAAGCUGUAGACAUCGCUUUUCAAUGUUAAUUCACCUUCAUAAGAAUAGAUUAUCAUGGGAUUAGUAGAUAAUACAGAAGCAAGGAGUAUGUGCCCUGCUUGAUUAGAGAUAUUUGCAAUCUACUUCCAGAAAAAAUAUAACAUGUACACAGCUAAACCCUUUAGACGUAAGGUUAUGUGAAAUAUUAACCUGUAUGAUAAUAUUCGGGAUCUAUAUAACCGAAUGUUCCCUGAACACGUGUAGUAACAUGGGAUCUUUCCUCUUCUGGUCCGUCCUUAGCCAGACUAAAACCAGAGAGCUUUGCAUUGUAUUUCUGUCAGUAACAGAAAUUUUGUCAGGCAAAAGUAUAUUUUUAGGGGGAACAAUGGUCGGUAGUAAAUUUUAACCAUCAUUGUUUCUACAUACUGAAUCAAUCAAUAUGUUGGAUGUUUUGACAUCACGAUGUAUAACAUUUACUCCUGGACCAUGAAGAUAUGCAAGCCCCUUAGCAGCUCCAUGAGCAAGACCUAUACGAAGUUUCCAGGAGAGCCGUUGAGAAGUAGAAACCCCUGUUUCAAGUGAAUUAAGUAGCUGCGUCAAACAACAGUUUUUCACAGGCAUAGCUUACAAAACCCAGGUUUUUCCCCUUCUUAAGAUUUUUACAAUUUUACGCGGAGCCCACCAUCUAAUAACUUAUGACGAAUAUUAUACGAGCGAUGAAAAAUUGAACUUAAGACGCAUUCAAAAGCGACAGAUAUUUUCCGUCGUAAUUGUGUCCAUUUACGACAGAUGCAGUGUUAUAAGAGGAUAAUUGACUAGAUCAGAGCUAAUAAUAUUAAGAAACUCACGCAGAUGCUGGUCCAAGCGUCCAUGAAGUGGGUGCUCAAGUACUAGAAGCCGCUCCUUUUCCAAGCAAUAUCCAAUCAGUUUUACGAUAUUAGGAUGACAAAGUUUUCUUAAGGUAUCGAUUUCUUUCUGUAGUAUAAGAGGUGACAGAGUUCUUUAGUAGCUUAAAUAAAACACAACAAAAAUUGUAAAACUAAAACAAAAAGAUCACAGGGAAAUGUAUUGCAGGCAAAAGUUGAAAAGUGAGACUAACCAACCACACCUCCUUGAAAUUUGGGUUAUCUUUCAAUCUCUUUAUUGUAGUAAUCGGACCAGUACCCUUAUAAUAAGUAUAAUAAUCAUCAUUCCCCCACAGAGCACCGGGAUCGAACUUGCUGGUAGCUGUCCUGAGAUGAUGGAAUGUGUAACUCUUCAAAUUUGAUGGCUUCAUGAUGAGCUUUGAACAGGGCUGUUUGAGACUUUUUUUUUGAGGCCCUGUGCUAACUAUAAGAAUGAGGUCCUCCCAAAUGACAACACAAAAUUUUAAUAUAUUUAAAAUAAUAAGAUAUCAUCCAUAAAAUUAUACUACUACAACUGAAAAAUUGUUUGAUUGCAACUACUACAAAAAACAUCAACUAUUACUUGAACUUGUCACUUCUUCUAGCGUUUUUUGAAGUGAAUUCAUCCACCAAGUCUUCAUAAUCAAUUGGUUGGAGGCUUUUAAAAAAUAAAAUUCAGAUAAUUUCUACACCCAUUUGAUGAACACCGGAGCUUGAAAUCUUUGAUGGAGUCUGGAGAAGAAAUGGCAUGACAGUGGAAUGGACAAAUGAGUCACUAAAAUAUGUUUGCUCGUUAAAAGUUUUGUUUUUUUGGAUAGUUAGACUUAAAUAUGUGUGUGGCCAUGUGGGAUUUAGCUUACACAGUGUACUAGUUUGUGGGGGUGGGGGGAGGAAUAAGAAGAGACAUGCAUAGCUCGAUCUUGAGAAUUGAUUAGUGUUUAAAUAAAAUAAUGUUAACAAUUAAAGAGAUGUUAAUAUUAUAUUAUAUUUAUCAUGAGUAUACUAAGAGAUAGACAGAAGUAGUCAUAUAAAAACGGCCCUGGCUUUGAAUCCCUGUUGACUGGCGUACUUGGCCAAACCUAUUUUUAGCGUAUUCGUGUAGCUUUUGUUAAAGAAACUAUAGGUCAAUUUAUGAUUUAUAAAUCUAUAUAGAUGAAAUUGAAGAUCUUAAUUUUUUUGUUACUUAAUUUGGAUUUACAAAACGUAUUACAGUGAGAUUACCUGAUAUGACCCGAGCUGCAAGUGUCAGCAAAGUAGCAAAUCUUUGAAAAGAAGAAGACUGCUUCUCUUUCUCGGGGAAGAAUGAAGAAGACUGCUUUUCCUGAUGCCUACUGCUGGAAAUACCAUCCAGCUCAUCAUCGGAAUUUUCAUUCUCCACCUCAUGGUCUGAUACAUCUCCUUCCUCCACCUCAGAGUCUGAUAUAUCUAUUUCCUCUUGGUUCUCAUCACUAGUUAUCUUUUCAGUCCUCUUUUCUUGCAAGGCCAAGGCAGACUCAAGACCAACAACAACCUCAGCCAUAGUGGGACGAUGUUUAGGUUCGGUCUGUAAACACUGGAUUGCAACUUUCACGAACAUCUCUAGAGAAUCAGGAUACACAUUAUCUUUUAUUCCCUCAUCAAUAAUUUCCCCCAGUCUUUUCUCUCUGAAGCAAUAUUGUGCCCAUCUAGCUAAACCAAUUUGCUCUUCAUCCAGACUCUUGUCCACUGCUGGCCUUCCACACAAGACCUCAAAUAACACAACACCGAAGGCAUACACGUCGGAUUUCCUCGUGAGCCUUUGGGUUUGGAAAUAAUCAGGAUCAAAAUAUCCAAAGGUUCCUUUCACCUGAGUGCUUACGAAUGUAUGCGUCUGAUUAGCUGGACUUGUUCUAGAUAAUCCGAAAUCAGAAACCUUAGCUGCAAAAUUCUGGUCAAGUAGGAUGUUAGUGCUCUUUACAUCACGGUGUAUGAUUCUCUGGUAAAUCCCUGUUCCAGUGUGAAGGUAAUCCAGUCCUCGAGCUGCUCCGAUACAAAUCUUGAGACGUUGAACCCAUGAAAGAGGCGAAGAAGAAGUGUCAUCUUGUCUAAGCCUCUUAUGAAUAUGAUCGGCUAACGUACCACCUGCCAUAAAUUCAUAAACAAGAAUCAUCUCAUAACCUUCAUUACAGUAACCAAUUAAAGACACUAGAUUGAUGUGCCGAAUUUUUGAGAGCAUCUCAAUCUCUGCACGGAAUUCUGUGGAUCCUUGUUUCGAAGUUGAUUUCAACCGUUUUAUGGCAACUAGAGUUGCUCCCAGAGUCCCUUUGUAAACAUUUCCAAACCCGCCUUUUCCGAUCACUAAUUCGAUGUGGAAGUUACGUGUCGCACGCUUCAUCUCAUUAAAGGAGAAACGGUAACAUGAUUGUCGAGUAGACGAUGAUUGAAGCCAGUUUUUUUGUUCCACGACUUCUGCUUCUUGAAGUUUUUGGAGCAUGUAAACUACGAUAUUCAAGAUGGUAAUAAGAAUAAUUGCU
rnacentral:lncRNA from 1 species